rnacentral:rRNA from 1 species
UGAGUAACACGUGGGCAACCUGCCUUGUAGAGGGGAAUAGCCUUCCGAAAGGAAGAUUAAUACCGCAUAACAUUACAUUUUUCGCAUGAAGAAGUAAUUAAAGGAGCAAUCCGCUACAAGAUGGGCCCGCGGCGCAUUAGCUAGUUGGUGAGGUAACGGCUCACCAAGGCGACGAUGCGUAGCCGACCUGAGAGGGUGAUCGGCCACACUGGAACUGAGACACGGUCCAGACUCCUACGGGAGGCAGCAUG